CAUGCAGUCGAGCGGACAGAUGGGAGCUUGCUCCCUGAUGUUAGCGGCGGACGGGUGAGUAACACGUGGGUAACCUGCCUGUAAGACUGGGAUAACUCCGGGAAACCGGGGCUAAUACCGGAUGGUUGUUUGAACCGCAUGGUUCAAACAUAAAAGGUGGCUUCGGCUACCACUUACAGAUGGACCCGCGGCGCAUUAGCUAGUUGGUGAGGUAAUGGCUCACCAAGGCAACGAUGCGUAGCCGACCUGAGAGGGUGAUCGGCCACACUGGGACUGAGACACGGCCCAGACUCCUACGGGAGGCAGCAGUAGGGAAUCUUCCGCAAUGGACGAAAGUCUGACGGAGCAACGCCGCGUGAGUGAUGAAGGUUUUCGGAUCGUAAAGCUCUGUUGUUAGGGAAGAACAAGUACCGUUCGAAUAGGGCGGUACCUUGACGGUACCUAACCAGAAAGCCACGGCUAACUACGUGCCAGCAGCCGCGGUAAUACGUAGGUGGCAAGCGUUGUCCGGAAUUAUUGGGCGUAAAGGGCUCGCAGGCGGUUUCUUAAGUCUGAUGUGAAAGCCCCCGGCUCAACCGGGGAGGGUCAUUGGAAACUGGGGAACUUGAGUGCAGAAGAGGAGAGUGGAAUUCCACGUGUAGCGGUGAAAUGCGUAGAGAUGUGGAGGAACACCAGUGGCGAAGGCGACUCUCUGGUCUGUAACUGACGCUGAGGAGCGAAAGCGUGGGGAGCGAACAGGAUUAGAUACCCUGGUAGUCCACGCCGUAAACGAUGAGUGCUAAUGUUAGGGGGUUUCCGCCCCUUAGUGCUGCAGCUAACGCAUUAAGCACUCCGCCGGGGAGUACGGUCGCAAGACUGAAACUCAAAGGAAUUGACGGGG
rnacentral:rRNA from 1 species